UCAAGCUACAAAGGGCUUACGGAGGAUGCCUUGGUACGUGGCGCCGAAGAAGGACGUGACAAGCUGCGAAAAGUUGCGGGGAGGAGCAAAUAUCCUGUGAUCCGCAAAUAUCCGAAUGAGGGAACUCCGCACGGGUAAAGCCGUGUGAUCCGUAUAUGAAUAGAUAGUAUACGGAGGGGAACCCGGGGAACUGAAACAUCUAAGUACCCGGAGGAAAAGAAAACAAAAGUGAUUCCGAAAGUAGUGGCGAGCGAAAUCGGAAGAGCCCAAACCGAAUGUAGAAAUACGUUUGGGGUAAGGACCGCGAAGAAGCGAGAGUGAAAGCUAACCGAAAUACCUGGGAAGGUAUAACGCAGAGGGUGAAAUUCCCGUAGGUGAAAGCGGAAGCUCGGCGAGCGGAAUCCGGAGUACGUCGGGACACGAGAAAUCCUGACGGAAGGAACGGGGACCAUCCCGUAAGGCUAAAUACGACCACGUGACCGAUAGCGAAUAGUACCGUGAGGGAAAGGUGAAAAGGACCCCGGGAGGGGAGUGAAAAAGAACCUGAAACCGUAAGUUUACAAGCAGACGGAGAGCGUUAAGGGCUCGACGUCGUACUUUUUGUAGAACGGGCCGGCGAGUUACGAUGUGAUGCGAGGUUAAGCGAUGAAGUCGCGGAGCCGAAGCGAAAGCGAAUCUGAAUAGGGUGAUAAGUAUCAUGUCGUAGACCCGAAACCGAAUGACCUAACCAUGAGCAGGUUGAAGCAAUGGUAAAACGUUGUGGAGGACCGAACACACGCCUGUUGAAAUAGUCGGUGAUGACUUGUGGUUAGCGGAGAAAUUCCAAACGAAUUCGGAUAUAGCUGGUUCUCCUCGAAAUAGCUUUAGGGCUAGCCUCGCGAAACAGACUAUGAAGGUAAAGCACUGAAUGACCUAGGGGGCUUCACAGCCUACCGAAGUUUAUCAAACUAAGAAUGUUAUAGUUAAAGGCGCGGGAGUCAGACAGCGACAGCUAAGUGCCGUUGUCAAAAGGGAAACAGCCCAGAUCUACAGCUAAGGUCCCGAAGUACAGGUUAAGUGGAAAAGGAUGUGACGAUGCAAAGACAACCAGGAUGUUGGCUCAGAAGCAGCCACGCAUUAAAAGAGUGCGUAAUAGCUCACUGGUCGAGUGACGUUGCGCCGAAAAUUAACGGGGCUCAAACCUGACACCGAAGCUUAGGAAUACUUUAAUAAGUAUUGGUAGAGGAGCAAUGUAUACGAGAAGAAGGCGUACCGGAAGGAGCGCUGGAUUGUAUAGAAGAGAGAAUGCCGGCAUAAGUAGCGAGAGCGGAGCGAGAAACUCCGCCGUCGAAAGUCUGAGGUUUUCCGGGGAAGGUUCGUCCGCCCGGAGAAAGUCGGGACCUAAGCGGAGGCCGAAAGGCGUACGUGAUGGACAGCAGGUUGAUAUUCCUGCACUACCGAGAGAGAUAAUGAAGCAAUGACACGGAAAGAUAGAAGAAGCGCGCGGAUGGAAAAGCGCGUCCAAGCAAAGAGGGUGGCUGGUAGUAAAGAACGCCAGUCGUAAGCCUGAUUUGUGACGGGGAGUGGACCAAGGAAACGAAGUCUUUGAAUCUACGCCGGCGAGAAAAGUUGCUAAAUAUUUCGAGGUACCCGUACCGCAAACCGACACAGGUAGACGAGAAGAAAAUUCUAAGACGAACGGGAGAACCCUUGUUAAGGAACUCGGCAAAACGACCCCGUAACUUCGGGAGAAGGGGAGCCAUCGAGAGAUGGCCGCAGUGAAGAGGCCCAAGCGACUGUUUAUCAAAAACACAGGUUUCUGCUAAGGCGAAAGCCAAGGUAUAGGAGCUGACUCCUGCCCAGUGCCGGAAGGUCAAGGGGACUUGUUAGCAGCAAUGCGAAGCAACGAACUUAAGCCCCGGUGAACGGCGGCCGUAACUAUAACGGUCCUAAGGUAGCGAAAUUCCUUGUCGGGUAAGUUCCGACCCGC
rnacentral:rRNA from 1 species